CAGCAGCCGCGGUAAUACGUAGGGUGCAAGCGUUAAUCGGAAUUACUGGGCGUAAAGCGUGCGCAGGCGGUUCGGAAAGAAAGGUGUGAAAUCCCAGGGCUUAACCUUGGAACUGCACUUUUAACUACCGAGCUAGAGUACGUCAGAGGGGGGUAGAAUUCCACGUGUAGCAGUGAAAUGCGUAGAGAUGUGGAGGAAUACCGAUGGCGAAGGCAGCCCCCUGGGAUGAUACUGACGCUCAUGCACGAAAGCGUGGGGAGCAAACAGGAUUAGAUACCCUGGUAGUCCACGCCCUAAACGAUGUCAACUAGCUGUUGGGGUUUAUUAACCUUAGUAGCGCAGCUAACGCGUGAAGUUGACCGCCUGGGGAGUACGGUCGCAAGAUUAAAACUCAAAGGAAUUGAC
rnacentral:rRNA from 1 species